UACGAAGGGGGCUAGCGUUGCUCGGAAUCACUGGGCGUAAAGCGCACGUAGGCGGCUUUCUAAGUCAGGGGUGAAAUCCUGGAGCUCAACUCCAGAACUGCCUUUGAUACUGGAGAGCUUGAGUCCGGGAGAGGUGAGUGGAACUCCGAGUGUAGAGGUGAAAUUCGUAGAUAUUGGGAAGAACACCAGUGGCGAAGGCGGCUCACUGGCCCGCAACUGACGCUGAGGCGCGAAAGCGUGGGGAGCAAACAGG
rnacentral:rRNA from 1 species